rnacentral:lncRNA from 1 species
GUGAGACACACGUAUAUUAUGUUGACCAAAGAGAAGAUAUCUAAAACUUACAUAAGUGCUGGUGAAUGAUUGAACUUAGCAGGGAGAGGAGCUCGGUAAGGUGGAAAUGGUGUUGGGACCAUUUCCGUUUGCUUACUAGUUGACAUGACCACCACAGAAACUAAUGCCGAAGCAAAUACUAACAACCUCAACACCACAUCCGCCACCGCAAAGUAGUCGGUGGGAGCCGUCGUCGGUGGCAGAGCCGCCUUUUCUGGCUCUGCCACCGAUGCCUCUGCAGGUGCAACAACCUUUUCGGGUUCAGUAGCCAUGGGUGCACUACAGUUCUACUAGAGGUGCCAAAUUGUUUUGAAUGAUAAUUAAGUUAGU